UGCUCCCUUGCUUUACUCGACGCCUCGGGCCUUCCUCACGAACGUCUUUCCGCUAACAUAGUACGUCGGGGCAUUCCCCGAUGAACACACACAAAUACCUCGAGGCAUUCCCCGGCCAAAUGAAUACAUUUAAUGAAAUGUGAUGAAAAUGAAGAAAAGCACUCAACACAAAUAUUUACACAUUCGAUGAUUAAAAUCCUACGAGUUGCCUACCCCCUAAAACCUAGAACUUGCCUAUCAAUGCCCGACCUAAGACAUGAUACUAUUACACUUAACAUCAAUAUUUAUUUCAAAAUAAACCGACAACAAUAAAUCAAGACUAAUCCUUUUUUAUUUUAUCAAUUUUUCGAUCCCGACCCCAAACAACAACUUUAAUUCUCAAUCAACGAUUAACUAAUCUUUAGACUAUCAAUUUAAUCUUCAUAAUCCGAAUUCAACAUCAACCAACAUUUAUGAUUCAAACAUCACAAAAUAAAACAAAAAACAAGAUGCAGACAUUGUCAAUUCGCCACACAAAAUAUAAAAAUUUAAAAUUAUUCGAGAAAAAGGAUUAGAAAUGGACCUCAAUCGAAGCUUUUAUUGUGUCAAAUAAUGCAAUUAGAAAAUAGAAUCGGGUUCAAAAGCCUCAAGUCGAACCUCGAUCGCGAACUGACCAACUCCAAAACUCGGUAUCACCAAAAUCAAAACUCGGAACUGACCACGAUGACCCAGUCGAGACAAAUCGAACCUUUAAAGCGUGUCUUUCAAUUUUAAAAAUUCUUCAAAAUAGAGCAGCCCUUAAACCUUGUACAAAAUUCACACUUAUUAAAGAAUUGAUCUCGGCUUUUAUUUUUGCCUUAACCGAUGGUGCAGAAAACACUAAAAUUCGACCCACGAACCUAGAUUUUUACCCAAAAUCUCAAAAUUGAAGCAAUGAGGGAGAAAGAAAGUAAAUUCGACAGCUCCCUAAAGAAUUCUGUGACUGUUUUAUGGUUUAUAUUAUGAAGAUCAAUGCGAAGGGAGUCAUCUAGUCAGUAAUGAAAUGGAAUUUUAGAGAUGGAGAUGUGGGUGACGUAUGACCCAAAAUGAAAGAGGGUAUGUGUUGUUAUUCUAGGAAGAAAAAGAGAAGGGGGUGUGUGAAUGUCGAUGGUUGUGCGUGUAUGGUGUGUACAGAAAGAGUGACGAUGGAAGGAAUAGUGUUGGUGUUUGUCUAUGGUGAGAGAAUUGUAUGGGGUGACUGUGAGAGUGUGUUGGUUAGAAUAGGAUUAAAACAAGAUAAAAUUUGUUAGGGAUUUUUUUAAGGGUUGUUAUUUUUUGUACAUUUGUGGGAUAUAAUCACACGGGUGAGGGCACACAGUAAGACGAGGGUAAAAUGGUAAAAAAAAGCUUUCAGUGAGGGACAACAUUACGUGUCUACAUCAUGCCCCCUUUGAAUGUAAACACAGAGUGUUUUCAUACAAAGAAGUAGACAACGAGACAGAAUUUUGUCCCGAUCAUUAUUCAAAGGAACAAAUAGAAGGAAGAAAGUCAACCGAGUCUUCACUUAGGACACCCUACCUACCCAAGUUAUGAGGGAAUUAAGUGACAGGUAUAUCAAAGGAUUGAAAGUAGAUGAACUAUACCGAGUUGGAGAGUUGAGUGAGGUUCCAUCGAGGUUACGGUCCGCGGCUCUGUCAUUACAUCAAAAUGGAAAUUACAAAUUAACAUAUAAAUAGAAUUAUAAAAAUCCUACCUAUGCAGCUUCUUUUGGACUUUAGUUUCAUCACCCUAUUCUUCAGGCGGACUCUUGACUUGAAAUUUCUUCAACUUUUUCAUCACCCUGUUCUUUGGGCAGGCUCCUGACUUGCAAUUUCUUCAACUUGUUGCUUGGUUUUCAACUUCUUCACCUUGUUUGAAUUUCAACUUCUUGACCUUGUUGCUUGACUUUCAAUCUCUUGACCUUGUUAUUUGACUUUCAAUUCUUUCAACCUGUUCUUCAAACGGGCUCCUGACUUUCAAUUUUCAAUCAUCUUCAAAUUUCAUCACCCUGUACUUCAAGCGGGCUCCUGAAACCAGAAUCAAAACGAGAACGAAAAUUAUCCCAAACAAAGAUUAAGAUAUAGAAAUAUUUUACUUUUUGAAAGUAAAGUCCCAUUCUUUAGGAGGGUCCUGAACAGAAAGUAAAGUCCCAUUUUUCAGGAGGGUCCUGAACAGAAAGUAAAAUCCCAUUUUUUAGGAGGGUCCUGAACAGAAAGUAAAAUUCUAUUUUUCAGGAGGGUCCUGAAUAGAAAGUAAAAUCAUAUUUUUAAGGAGGGUCCUGAACAGAAAGUAAAGUCCCAUUUUUCAAGAGGGUCCAGAACAGAAAGUAAAGUCUCAUUUUUCAGGAGGGUCCUGAACAGAAGUAAAAUCGUAUUUUUCAGGAGGGUCUGAAACAGAAAGUAAAGUCCCGUUUUUUAGGAGGGUCCUGAACAAAAAGUAAAGUCCCAUUUUUCUGGAGGAUCCUGAACAGAAAGUAAAGUCUCAUUUUCCAGGAGGGUCCUAAACAGAAAGUAAAGUUCCAUUUUUCAGGAGGGUCCUGAGCAGAAAGCAAAGUCCUAUUUUUCAGGAAUGUCCUGAACAGAAAGUAAAAUCCCAUUUUUAAGGAGGGUACUGGGCAAAAAGUAAAGUCCCAUUUUUUAGGAGGGUCCUGAACAGAAAGUAAAGUCUCAUUUUUAAGAAGGGUCCUGAACAGAAAGUAAAAUCCCAUUUUCAGGAGAGUCCUGAGCAGAAAGUAAAGUCCCAUUUUUCAGGAAGGUCCUGAACAUAAAGUAAAGUCCCAUUUUUUAGAAGGGUCCUGAGCAGAAAGUAAAGUCCCAUUUUUCAGGAGGGUCCUGAGUAGAAAGUAAAGUCCCAUUUUCCAGGAGGGUCCUGAACAGGAAGUAAAAUCCCAUUUUUAGGAGGGUCCUGAACAGAAAUUAAUGUCCCAUUUUUCAGUAGGGUCCUGAACAGAAAGUAAAAUCCCAUUUUCUAAGAGGGUCCUGAACAGAAAGUAAAAUCUCAUUUUUCAGGAGGGUCCUGAACAGAAAGUAAAGUCCCAUUUUCCAGGAGGGUCCUGAACAGAAAGUAAAAUCCCAUUUUUAAGAGGGUUCUGUCUGAAAGUAAAAUCCCAUUUUUAGGAGGGUCCUAAACAGAAAGUAAAAUCUCAUUUUCCAGGAGGAACCUGAAUAGAAAGUAAAGUCCCAUUUUUCAGGAGGGUCUUGAACAGAAAGUAAAAAUUCAUUUUUCAGGAGGGUCCUGAACAAAAAGUAAAGUUCCAUUUUUCAGGAGGGUCCUGAACAGAAAGUAAAGUCCAAUUUUCCAGGAGGGUCCUGAACAGAAAUAAAAGUCCUAAACAGAAAGUAAAGUCUUAUUUUUCUGGAGGGUCCUGAACAGAAAGUAAAGUCCCAUUUUCCAGGAGGGUCCUGAACAGAAAGCAAAUUCUCAUUUUUCAGGAGAGUCCUAAACAGAAUGUAAAGUCCCAUUUUCCAGGAGGGUCCUGAGCAGAAAGUAAAAUCCCCUUUUCCAGGAGGGUCCUGAGCAGAAAGUAAAGUCUCAUUUUUCAGUAGGGUCCUGAACAGAAAGUAUAGUCCCAUUUUUCAGGAGGGUCCUGAGCAGAAAGUAAAGUCCCAUUUUUUAGGAGGGUUCUAAACAGAAAGUAAAAUCCCAUUUUUUAGAAAGUUCCUGAGCAGAAAGUAAAUUUCCACUUUUCAGGAGGGUCCUGAACAGAAAAUAAAGUCUAAUUUUUCAGUAGAGUCCUGGACAGAAAGUUAGGUCUCAUUUUUCAGGAGGGUCUUGAACAUGAAGUAAAGUCCUAUUUUUUAGGAGGGUACUGAACAGAAUGUAAAGUCCCAUUUGUUAAGAGGGUCCUAAACAAAAAGUAAAGUCCCAUUUAACCGGAGGGUCCUGAGCAAAAAGUAAAGUCCUAUUUUUCAGGAGGCUCCUGGACAGAAAGUAAAAUCCUAUUUUUCAGGAAAGUCCUAAGCAGAAAGUAAAGUCUCAUUUUUUUAAGAGGGUCCUGAGAAGAAAGUAGAGUCUCAUUUUUUAGGAGGGUCCUGAACAGAAAGUAAAAUCCCAUUUUUCAGGAUGGUCCUGAGCAAAAAGUAAAGUCCUAUUUUUUAAGAGGGUCGUGAACAUAAAGUAAAGUCCCGUUUUCUAGGAGGAUCCUGAGCAGAAAGUAAAGUCCCAUUUUUCAGGAGGGUCCUAAACGAAAGUAAAGUCCCACUUUCCAGGAGGGUCCUGAAAAGAAAGUAAAAUUCCAUUCUUAGGAGGGUCCUGAACAGAAAGUAAUGUCCCAUUUUUCAGGAGAGUCCUGAACAGAAAGUAAAAUCCCAUUUUUCAAGAGGGUCCUGAACAGAAAGAAAAGUCCUAAACAGAAAGUAAAGUCUUAUUUUUCAGGAGGGUCCUGAACAGAAAGUAAAGUCCCAUUUUCCAGGAGGGUCCUGAACAGAAAGCAAAAUCUCAUUUUUCAGGAGGGUCCUAAACAGAAAGUAAAGUCCCAUUUUCCAGGAGGGUCCUGAACAGAAAGUAAAAUCCCAUUUUUAGGAGGGUCCUGAACGAAAAGUAAGGUCCCAUUUUCCAGGAAAGUUCUGAACAGAAAGUAAAAUCUUAUUUUUCAGGAGGGUCCUGAACAGAAAGUAAAAUGCCAUUUUUAGGAGGGUCCUGAACAGAAAGUAAAGUCUCAUUUGCUAGAAGGGUCCUGAACAGAAAGUAAAAACUUAUUUUCCAGGAGGAUCUUGAGCAUAAAUUAAGGUCCCAUUUUCAGGAGGGUCCUGAACAGAAAGUAGAGUCCUAUUUUCCUGGAGGGUCCUUAGCAGAAAGUAAAAUACCAUUUUUUAGGAGGGUCCUGAACAGAAAGUAAAGUCCCAUUUUUCAGGAGGGUCCUGAACAGAAAGUAAAGUCCCAAUUUUCAGAAGGGUCCUGAACAGAAAGUAAAAUCUCAUUUUCCAAGAGGGUCCUGAACAGAAAGUAAAAUCUCAUUUUUCAGGAGGGUCCUGAACAGAAAGUAAAGUCUCAUUUUUUGGGAGGAUCUUGAACAGAAAUUAAAAUCCCAUUUUUAAGAGGGUCCUAAACAGAAAGUAAAGUCCCAUUUACCAUAACGGUCCUGAACAGAAAGUAAAAUCCCAUUUUCCUGGAGGGUCCUGAACAGAAAGUAAAAUCCCAUUUUUAGGAGGGUCCUAAACAGAAAUUAAAGUCCCAUUUUUCAGGAGGGUCCUUAAAUAAAUGUAAAAUUCCAUUUUUUAGGAGGGUCCUUAACAGAAAGUAAAGUCCCAUUUUUUAGGAGGGUCUUGAGUAGAAAGUAAAAUUCCAUUUUUCAGGAGGGUCCUGAGCAGAAAGUAAAUUCCCAUUUUCUAGGAGGGUCCUGAGCAGAAAGUAAAGUCCCAUUUUCUAGUAAGGUCAUGAACAGAAAGUAUAGUCCCAUUUUUCAGGAGGGCCCUAAGCAGAAAGUAAAGUCACAUUUUUUAGGAGAGUCCUAAACAGAAAGUAAAACCCCUUUUUUCAGGAAGUUCCUGAGCAGAAAAUAAAGUUUUAUUUUUCAAGAGGUUCCUGAACAGAAAGUAACGUCUCAUUUUUUAUGAGAGUCCUGAACAGAAAGUAAAAUCUUAUUUUUCGGGAGUGUCCUAAACAGAGAGUAAAGUCCCACUUUUUAGGAGGCUCCUGAGCAGAAAGUAGAGUCUCAUUUUUUAGGAGGGUCCUGAACAGAAAGUAAAAUCCUAUUUUUCAGGAGGGUCCUGAGCAAAAAGUAAAGUCCCAUUUUUUAGGAGGGUUAUGAACAUAAAGUAGAGUCCCAUUUUGUAGGAGGGUCCUGAGCAAAAAGUAAAGUCCCAUUUUUUAGGAGGGUCGUAAACAGAAAGUAAUGUCCCAUUUUCCAGGAGGGUCCUGAACAAAAAGUAAAAUUCCAUUCUAAGGAGGGUCCUGAACAGAAAGUAAAGUCUUAUUUUUCAGGAGGGUCCUGAACAGAAAGUAAAAUCUCAUUUUUCAGGAGGGUCCUAAACAGAAAGUAAAGUCCCAUUUUCCAGGGGGUCCUGAACAGAAAGUAAAAUCUCAUUUUUAGAAGGGUCCUGAACAGAAAGUAAAGUCCCAUUUUCCAGGAAGGUCCUAAACAGAAAGUAAAAUCCUAUUUUUUCGGAGGGUCCUGAACAGAAAGUAAAGUCCCAUUUUCUAGAGGGUCUUGAACAGAAAGUAAAGUCUUAUUUUCCAGGAGGGUCCUGAGCAUAAAUUAAAGUCUCAUUUUUCAGGAGAGUCCUGAACAGAAAGUAAAGUCCUAUUUUUUGGGAGGGUCCUCAGCAGAAAGUAAAAUACCAUUUUUCAGGAGGGUCCUGAGCAGAAAGUAAAGUCCCAUUUUUCAGGAGGGUCCUGAACAGAAAGUAAAGUCCCAUUUUCCUCGAGGGUCCUGAGCAGAAAGUAAAUUCCCAUUUUUUAGGAGGGUCCUGAACAGAAAGUAAAAUCCUAUUUUUCAGGAGGGUCCUGAGCAGAAAGUAAAGUCCCAUUUUUCAGAAGAGUCCUGAACAGAAAGUAAAUUCUCAUUUUCCAGGAGGGUCCUGAACAGAACGUAAAGUCCCAUUUUUUAGGAGGGUCCUGAACAGAAAGUAAAGUCUCAUUUUUCAUGAGGGUCCUAAACGAAAAGUAAAAUCCCAUUUUUCAAGAAGGUCCUGAACAGAAAUUAAAGUCAUAUUUUUCAGGAGGGUCCUCAACUAAAAGUAAAGUCCCAUUUUUCAGGAGGGUCCUGAACAGAUAGUAAAAUCCCAUUUUCAGGAGGGUCCUGAACAGAAAGUAAAAUUCUAUUUUACAGGAGGGUCUUGAACAGAAAGUAAAGUCUCAUUUUUCAGGAAAGCCCUGAACAGAAAGUAAAGUCCCUUUUUUCAGGAUGGCCCUGAGCAAAAAGUAAAGUCCCAUUUUUUGGGAGGGUCCUGAGCAGAAAGUAAAGUCUUAUUUUUCAGGAGCAUCCUGAACAGAAAGUAAAAUCCCAUUCUUAGGAGGGUCCUGAGCAGAAAGUAGAGUCUCAUUUUUCAGGAGGGUCCUGAACAGAAAGUAAAAUCUCAUUUUUUAGGAGGGUCCUGAGCAGAAAUUAAAAUCUCAUUUUUCAGGAGGGUCCUGAACAGAAAGUAAAAUCUCAUUUUUUAGGAGGGUCCUAAGCAGAAAGUAAUGUCUUAUUUUUCAGGAGGGUCCUGAAUAGAGAGUCAAGUCCUAUUUUCUAGGAGAGUCCUGAGCAGAAAGUAAAGUCCUAUUUUUCAGGAGGGUCCUGAACAGAAAGUAAAGACCCAUUUUCCAGGAGGGUCCUGAACAAAAAGUAAAAUUUCAUUUUUCAGGAGGGUUCUGAAUAGAAAAAUAAGUCUCAUGGAUGUGCAUUUCCUAUGGUAGGUGAAUUAAGUGAAGUGAGUUUGCCCCUAUUUCAACAAAGAAAAUUUGUCAGUUAAAAACUUAGUAGUGGCUUACGACAAUUGGAUAUCCCGACACCUACUCAAGUGCUUAUUCCCUUCAUUUUAUUUCAGAUUGCUGGCACUUGGCCCUGCUUUGUCGUGUCAUAGACCCAAACUCAGAUUAUUAAGAGUGACUCCGAAAUGAACACAGUAUCCCUGCUAUGUCAUGCUUCUCAGAUAAACUCUUUAAACCUUGGUAUUUUCAUGAGUUCCCCAGCUUGUCUAUUGACAAAACUUUCUGCAUGGCUUAUUCAGCUCACAAUCAUGUCUCUUUCAUAUGCUGACUUUGUCUUGAUUUGUGAAAUUGAAGAAGCUAGUAGCCAGUUUUGAAAUCUUUUCUCACUUGUUUUGAUAUAGACUUGACUCAAAGAAAAGAGAAAAAUGACAAUGACUUUUAUUUGGACCACUGACUCAAGAAAACAAAAUAAAAAUAAAGAGAAGAAAGAAAAGAUAAUGAAUGUCCCCAUUUGAAACAAAGAAAUGAAAAAUUUAUCUAGAAAUAACAGUCAACUCUAAUGGUUAUGCCAUGCAUAUCAGAUUAAGCUACCUGAUCUUUCCAUCCAAAACUUUCUACUAAUUGUUGUUGAGUUAAUGACCUCGAAAAUGAGUUGCUUCCUUAGGUCAAUUGCAUUUAAGACCUCAUUCUGCUAAUGGCGCCUUGAAGGGUUUUUUGCCAACAAGUCUCUCUCAUUUUCUUUUUCCCAGCUCACUAUUGCCCUAUGGUGUCCAUGAGGGCUUUUCACCAAUGAAACUCUCUCAUUUUUAUUUGUCUCAACUCACCGUCAUCUUACAGUACCCGUGAGGGUUUUCACCGAUAAGACUCUCUCAUUGUUUCUCCCUCAGCUUACCAUCAUUUUACGGUGCCCGUGAGGGUUUUCACCGAUAAGACUCUCUCAUUGUUAUCUCCCCCAGCUUACCGUUAUCUUACGGUGCCCGUGAGGAUUUUCACCGAUAAGACUCUUUCAUUUUUAUUUCCCUCAGCUUACCAUCAUCUUACGGUGCCCGUGAGGGUUUUCAUCGAUAAGACUCUCUUAUUUUUUAUUUCUCUCCCGAUUCUUAUUGCUGAGGUAGACAAGUAGUUCCCAAAAUGCGUCAUCACAUGCUUAGUCUUAACAUUCUUAAAGAUUGAUCUGAAGGUCUUUCUUUGGUUGUAGCUUGGCUUUUAGAUAAGGUUAGAAGAAAAGGAUAACACGAGGCCUAAACGACACUUGAAGUGGGGUAGGACUUACAACUUUUGGAAUAGACGCAAAUAAUGAAGAUUAAAUCAUGCCCCAGUUUCUUUUGACUGGACAAUUAUAAAUUUUUUAUUUGGUUAGACCGAGCCCUUAGUAGGGCAGCCUACGUAUCUCACCCCCGAGAGAGGAGAAUCAGGUCAUGCGUAGUUCUGGCAGUUUGUUCUUUUGAUUGAUUCUGAUUUUUGUUUCUUCUUAUUCUUUUUUUCUCUUUUCUCUUUGGGAUUUUUUUCUGACCCUAUUUUUUAUACUCUUCUCUUUUCUUUCCUUUUGGACAUAUUUUUUUUCGACACUUUUCUUUUGAGUUUUAUUGACUCUAUAUUGAUUCCAAAAGAGGGGUAUGAAAGAAAAUAGGACUAAAGCUCAAAUGGGGUAAACAAAGGAUGACACAAUGUUUGGAUAACAGAAUAAAAUACCUUCGUCAUAUCAAUCCUUGAAAAUACUAGUACAUAGCAUGCAAGUGAAAGUGAAAGAUGAAGAUCAUUGUGACAUCUCUUACAACAUUAACUUUGACUAAGUCUGUGCAUCACUACUUCUUUCGCAAACUCAACCUUUGUUGUGCAUUCCUCACACUGAAUGACUUAUGAUUUUGUGGAGCUAAUUUUCGUUCAGUUCACACAGCCACUAUUUGACCUAAUUGAGACAUGUCUUUCAAUUGAUGACCAAGUUAUUCUUGUGAUUCUCAAAAUAAGUGCCUUAAUUUUCAAAGAAGGCUUCAACUUGUUGCCAAAUAUCUUAGCACUCUACCUAUUUCCUCAGAUGUUCUCUUUUACUAACUUAAACCUCUGAUUCAAUGUUUCAUGGUUAAAUUGGAUUUUAAGAUCUGACUAAAAAUUCCGCUAGCAUGUCAUAACAAUAUAAUCAACAUAACAUGUGAUGUGUAAAGAAAACAAACACAUUUAAAACACAAAGGGAAAAGGACACUUCAUUUAGUUGAAAUAAAAGAUAGAAAUAUUUGAACAUAAAUGACACAGGGACAAAACAGGAUAGAUCCCGAACUAUAACCUUGAAAUAAUUCAAAAAAUAGAAAAAAAAAAUAAAACAAACUACCAGGCCUCUUCCUAGCAGGGAGUGAAGUGACUUCUCAAUUGCUCAUCCUGACAUCUUAGCCACUAGUUUGCAUCUCAGCAUGACUAGAUAUUUCCUCACUGUCAAAGUUCUGCACCAUAAUCAAUUUGUCUUGAAUCAUCUUUUCAAUUUCUCUUUUCAAAGUACGACAAUCUUCAAUACUGUGACCCUGAACAUUAGAAUGAUAUGCACAUCGUACAUUAGGAUCAAAACUUCUUAAAUGCGGGUCAGGAGUAUACCCAAGGAGAGGAGUGAUCAUGCCUCACUGUGUCAAUCUCUGAAAUAAACUGGCAUAUGACUCUCCAAUUGGUGUGAAACUAUCCCUCAAUUUCUGACUCAUUUCAUUGUUUAAUUUGGAUCGAACAUCAGGCCUAGAAGGGCUUUGGUAUGUUUGUGGAAUUAGAGGACGACUUUAAAGAGUUGGUGCGCGCCAUUGUGGGUAAGGAGGGAUUUGAACAUAUGGUUGUGCUCAAUAUACUAGAUAUAGAGGUGGGAAAACAGAGUAUAAUGGAUUUUAGGAGUGAUUAUAGAGAACUUGGGUAUGAACUUGGGCUUGAUACUGACGGCAAUGACGACGUCGUCUUCUUGGAUGUGCCCGUUCUCCAACUACAAUAACAAAUGUCAUCUUUCUCAUCCUUCUUCCCUCUGGGUUUCCUUAAUUGAUUGCAAUAUUGUCCCAAAUGUUUCACGGAUUCCUCAUGCCUAUCUUGCUCCUCAAAUUUCGACAUCUCAAAGAUUGGAGGAAGGUUAGCACUUGAAGGCAUGGCCCAGUAUUUGUAUGAAACAUCUUUUUUACCCGCAGGUCCUAGAGAAUUUUUCAUAGCGUUUUCUGCACUCUUCAUUUUUCCAACCAUUCUCUCCGACUCUUCUGGCACACUAAACUUCUUGUUAAGAAAUUUUGGUGGUCUAGUUAACUUAAAAGCAGGCUCAAGAGUAUAACAAUAAUCACCAAAAGUAUUGAAUAUAGGUUCACUAGCAGCAUGGGAACGCAUAAUUAUUGGGCGAGCCAGUGUGGAAGUCCCAGUAGAAGAUUGAGCAACAAAAUCACAGACGACACGUGGUGUUGUGAAAGUAGCAGGCUUAUACUGAGGAGCUAGAGGAAAAGUGGUGGAAGUAUUGAGAUGUUUUUGGCUUGGAAUGAAUUCUGAGUCAUGUUGCGGUGCAUCAACAACAGUAGAAAACUAACUUUGAGAUUUUGGAGGAAAACUCGAGGUAUUUGUAGGAUCAAUAAAGGGAAAUAGAGGAGGAGGCAACCCACUGGCCCAAUCUCGAUGCAUUUCUGUCAUUUGUUGUCUUAGCCUCCUAAUCUCUUGCUUCAAACUCUUAUUUUCCUGAUUCUUUGUUUGAUCCAUGAUGCCACUCUCUAUAUCUUUGUUGGACACAACUAACCCUUUGGAUUUGGUGUGAUAUAAAGGACCAGCCAGAAUGCCACAAACCAACCACCUUAAACUGACUCAACAAAAAAAAAAUGUAUUAGAGUUCAACACUUUUCAAGAACUCUUUUUCCUUUUUUUUGUAAAGAUCACCGAACCAAAGAAGGGCGCCUACGUAUCUCACCCCCGAGAGAGGAGAAUCAGGUCAUGCGUAGCUCUUGAAGUCUUGCCCAAAUGGCCAAUUAAACUCUUUUUUUAUUCCUUGAAACUUUAAGAAGAAAAGAAAAUAACAAUUUAUCAAAAGAAUUGACAAUAAUCUUUUUGAAUUUUUUCAGCUUUAACAUCCCUAUACAAAAAUGAAAUCUAUGAUUACUAAAGAAAAAUCUUUUUUGGGUUUUCAAUUUUGAAUUUCAUAUGAAAAUGAAACUUGAACCUAUUAAAGGAAAUUUUGCAGCUUUCUUUUAAAGAUGUAUAUGAAACGCUUACUCUAAAUAAAGAGUGAAGAAAAUAUUUUUGAAUUUUUCAAAUAAGAUCCCCAAACCAACAAUAGGUUUCCUACGUAUCUCACUUCCGAGAGAGGAGAAUCAGGUUGAAGCCUUGCCAAAAUGGCCAAUUAAACUCUUUUUCUAUUCCUUGAAACUUUAAGAAGAAAAGAAAAUAGCAAUUUGUCAAAAAAAUUGACAAAAAGUCUUUUUGAAUUUUUUCAGCUUUAACAUCCCUAUACAAAAAUGAAAUCUAUGAUUACCAAAGAAAAAUCUUUUUUGGGUUUUCAAUUUUGAAUUUCAUAUGAAAAUGAAACUUGAACCUAUCAAACGAAAUUUUGCAGUUUUCUUUUAAAGAUGUAUAUGAAACACUUACUCUAAAUAAAAAGUGAAGAAAAUCUUUUUAGAUUUUUCAAAUAAGAUCCCCGAACCAACAAUAGGUUGCCUAUGUAUCUCACUCCGAAAGAGGAGAAUCAGGGGUGCGUAGUUCGUCCAGAUUGGACAAUUAAGGAUUAAAUAACCAGCUAGACCCUGACGUAAGAGAUUCGACCAAAGACAAACGAUGAACAAUGUUAUAAAAUAUUUUUGAGUUUUUUCAUUUGACACUUCACAUAAAACUGACACCAACAACUACGAAAGGAAGAUCUUUUUGGUAUUUUAUUUUAUGAAAUGAACACAACUACUACCAUUUUUUUGAAUUUUCUUUUAUAAAGAAGCUCCUAUUAAGAGAAAAAAUCUUUUUUGAAAAUUUUGAAUUAUGAAUGCAUGGUAAAGAAAUAAAAGGAAAAAAAAAUUGAUGUUUUUGAGAACAUGAGUGCAAAGUGUAAAACAUCUUUUUGAAUUGUGACAAAAAAAAUCAAAAGUCAUAAAGAACUCUAAAACUACGAAACACUCUUUUUUUACUCACCUUUCUUUUUUCUCUCUUUUUUUCAACAUUUUCUUGUCUACACACUUUACUUCUAACACAUGCUUUCCCCAAAUUAAUCGGUCAAAUGACCAUGUUAUCUUUAGGGAUGCAACAUUUAGCAUGUAGGGAUGCUUUAGAGGUAAGUCUUCUACAAAGGACUAAGUGAGUCCCACUAGGUCUCAAUAUGAUGCAGAUAAGCAUGAUCUAAAGACUAACCUACGCUGGGAUCCACUAACAAGGUUGUUCGGGGGAGCGUAUGAUCGAUAGUGGCUGCGAGAGCUUCCCACCCACUCCAUAACACCGACGGCUCCCCCUCUUAAAAUAGGGGUGACUCAACUAGAGGUCGUGUACAACACGUGUACUACAGACUUAUUGUAGAAAGAAUGACUCGGGUUAUGCACAUGAUGCCAGAUAUAAAGCGGUAACACGUAAAGAAAAACUGUAAACACAUAACAAGUAGGCACUCAACAAUGAUAAAACAAAUACGAACAAUAACACAAAAAUGUCUAUACACCCAUAAUGUCAAACAAAGCCGAUACAACUUCAAAAAUUAGCUCGAAUUCUGAAAAAUCCUCAGCAAAGUCGCCAGAGCUGUCACACCCCUUUUUUUUCAACUCCAAAAAGAUUCAUGAAUUGUUUUGAAAGGAUUUUUAUUAUUAAGUGACAAAAUAUGAAAAUUUGUUUCGAAAAAGAUUCAUUUUAUUCUAAACUCAAAGUCGCCACUUGGCAUAAAUCGGGUGUGCCAAGUCACCCGUGGAUAUCCUUUUUCAAAAUGGUUUUGACUCUGUAAAACUGAUCUGCGAACAGAGAUUCCGGCUAAGGAAUUCUGUUGGUCGAAGGAAAGGUGUUAGGAACCCCUCGAUCUCGUGGUUCGACCACGGUCGCUUGGUGAAGCGUAUCGGCUAAUUUUGACACUACGAAUGUACAAACCACAAAGAAGCACGUAAAGCAAUCAAACAAACAAACCAAACAAAACGAAUAAAAGUAUAGUGUUCAGUCCAAUUAUACAGUCCCAAAAAUAAAAAAAAUGUAAAAAUAAAUCAUAUCUAACCUAUACUAAUCCUAACUAUGCUCCCUUGCUUUACUCGACGCCUCGGGCCUUCCUCAUGAACGUCUUUCUGCCAACAUAGUACGUCGGGGCAUUCCCCAGUGAACAAACACAAAUACCUCGGGGCAUUCCCCGACCAAAUGAAUACAUUUAAUGAAAUGUGAUGAAAAUGAAGAAAAGCACUCAACACAAAUAUUUACACAUUCGGUGAUUAAAAUCCUACGAGUUGCCUACCCACCAAAACCUAGAACUUGACUAUCA
rnacentral:lncRNA from 1 species